rnacentral:rRNA from 1 species
UGAGCAAUCUGCCCUUCUCUUCGGAAUAAGCGUUGGAAACGACGUCUAAUGCCGAAUACGACCUCCUUUCGCAUGAUCGGAGGUGGAAAGCUCCGGCGGAGAAGGAUGAGCUCGCGGCCUAUCAGCUAGUUGGUGAGGUAAUGGCUCACCAAGGCGACGACGGGUAGCCGGCCUGAAAGGGCGACCGGCCACACUGGGACUGAGACGACCGGCCCAGACCUCCGUA